rnacentral:tRNA from 1 species
GGGGAGCUGGCGCAACGGUAGCGCGUCAGAUUCCAGUGAUCUGCUGAUCUCAGCAGAAUUCCUCGGUGAUUCCUGAAGGCUAUCGGUUCAAAUCCGGUGUUCCUCA